UGGUAGUAUUGCGUUGCAUGUCCCCCUGAUUCUCCGUCGCUUGAUUGCUAUGUGGGGGAGGUUCAGAUCUGGGUAUAGAUCUUUGUUGCAGCUACUCCUUAGCAACUACAGCUUGAUGGUAUGCUUCUUUCAUGGUCCAUAGGGUUUGGAGCCCCAAAGCAUCCUAGAUUUGCUACCAUAGUCCUUCAAGAUAUCUUGUGACCAUCUAUUCUUCAUUCUCCAUU
rnacentral:lncRNA from 1 species